rnacentral:rRNA from 1 species
UACGAAGGGGGCUAGCGUUGUUCGGAAUUACUGGGCGUAAAGCGCACGUAGGCGGACUCUUAAGUCAGGGGUGAAAUCCCGGGGCUCAACCUCGGAACUGCCUUUGAUACUGUGAGUCUCGAGACCGGAAGAGGUGAGUGGAAUUCCUAGUGUAGAGGUGAAAUUCGUAGAUAUUAGGAAGAACACCAGUGGCGAAGGCGGCUCACUGGUCCGGAUCUGACGCUGAGGUGCGAAAGCGUGGGGAGCAAACAGG